rnacentral:tRNA from 1 species
GGGCUGUAGCCAAGCGGUCAGGCAUGGCAUUUCACCGGAAGUUUGUCGCCCGCCAGUUUUACAGGCGAAUGCCGACAGAACUACUUGGUCGCGGGUUCGAGCCCCGCCGGUUUCA